CCGGCGGAAUCGGACGUUCGCCGUCCUCGGCGGGACGCACCAGGUGUUGUGUUAUGCAAACUUCACUGCCAUCCGAUGACGCUGUCACAUCCCGUCGACGAGAAUGACCCCUGGCUUUGUCUGAGGAGCACACUUGGCCGUCUCCAAAACGCAGAGUCACAGGGGCAAGACAAUAACGCCCAGAAGUUAUAGAAAUGAAUUGUCGGGAAAAGAGCUGGAACGAGAAGAGGGGUGCUCACAGCGUUAGCCAUCGAUGCAGAGUGAAGGAGCGGGUAGAGGAGCAAAAAAGACAAGUGUAAGAGGUCCAGACUUGAAGGAGGCACGCAAGCACAGAGACACACACAUAAUGGCACCUAGAGGCUGUCUGCGGUCUACCACCACCCUACCACACACACACACACACACACACACACACACACACACACACACACACAUGCAUGCCAGUUACGCUAAAAAUCUGAACACUGAAGGAGGAUCAUUAUGGCCUCCUUCAGGAAGCAAACAAUGUUUUCUAGUUUUCUUCUCCAAGGAGAGAAACAUUGACAAGUUAUAUUCGAGAAAGCUACAAAAUUCAGUCAUUUAAAGAGCUUUGUAGUUUCCAGUACCAGCACUGUUAAAAGCUGUUUUUUGGUUUGAUUUAAUGCGAGAUGUAAAAAAACAAAACAAAAAAGCUUAAAUGUCAAAUUUAAAUUCUCACUUUUUUUAUUUCUAAUUUUCCAAGUCUUUGCUCAUGUCAUAUCUCAUAUCAUUUGCGAUUUGUCCACGUGUGCACGUGUGCUUAUGCCUGCUUCGUUUUUCAAUUUCUAUUUUCAUCAGUGAAAACCCAUCCACACAAGUCAAAUUUAACAGCUGCACCACAUAUCCCACAAGCCCCCUAACCCACCCUGUGUCCCUCCCAGGGUUCCCAGCAUCCUGCUUUGCACACACUACCAAAAACCCAGGCAUGCUGAAAUUACAGUGUGUGGAGGAGGAUUGUGGGAAAGUGUUCCCUCCCUCUAACUCUGUAUUUGCCCUUUUCUGUUUUUUCCCCCUUCAUUCUGCUACAGUUUCGGACGUGUUCGGCUUAGUUUGAUGUUCGGUUAAGUGUCAAACCGAACGUUAAGUUGCAAUUUGCAUCAGCAAUAAGGGUGACUAAAGUUCAGCGUGAUAUUAACGAGGCACGAAUGUGGCGCUAAAUAAGAUUGACCCUGUUGUAUUGAUUAGUCUACGGCUAGGGUGAUAGUCUGUCCUGUUCUGAUACCGUCAGGGAAACGGCGUGUUUGUGCAUUUUAUGAGCUUGCACGCACACAGCUCAUUAGCAUAUAAAGAUUAAUUCAUUUGGUUUGAUGUUCUGUUCAGUAUGUCUUCAGAAUGUCACACUGAGGUAUGUGUGUUUGUAUUUAUACUACAAACACACUCAAAUGUAAUAGGAUUUGUGUGUUGAAUUCAAUUUGCGAGGUUAAUAGAAGUAACCAAGAACAGUGUUGGACAUAGAGUUACACACGAUCUGCUGCCAGCUUGCAAAUAACUGUGAUUUGCCAGAUAAGACCAAGUAGUGUCAGCUACAGAGGCUUGAACUUGUAUUCAGCAGAAAAUCAUUGGAUUAUGCAAAGUGCAGUGCUCCUUGAAUCAGUUGUGGCAUUGUGCUCGCGGUUUGUAGCUUCAGGUUAACUGAAAGCACCGCCCUCGCACCGACCGUGUUCCUAACCAGCUCUAA